UACGUAGGUGGCAAGCGUUGUCCGGAUUUACUGGGCGUAAAGCGAGCGCAGGCGGCCUGUUAAGUCCGAAGUGAAAGGUCGGAGCUCAACUCCAACAUUGCUUUCUAUACUGGCAGUCUUGAGUCACGGAGGGGAAAGCGGAACGACACGUGUAGCGGUGAAAUGCGUUGAUAUGUGUCGGAACACCAAUGGCGAAGGCAGCUUUCUGGACGAUGACUGACGCUCAGGCUCGAAAGCCAAGGGAGCGAACAGG
rnacentral:rRNA from 1 species